ensembl:lincRNA
GUGACUUCUAACUCUGCUAUCAGCUGACUGAGUAACUAACUUUUCCUAAAGUUCUAGUUUAAGGUAAGGCUUUCCUUGCAUUCUAGUCUCCAGACUGGACAUGUGCCCGUAGUUAAAAGCGUGCUUGCUCACCCGUGGAUGCCAGGCAGAGAGGAUAAAGGGGUGCAGGACUGAGCUUGCUAGAGCUCGCAUUCCUGCCUUUCCCUUCGUCUGAUAGAUUGCUGUCAUUCUGGCCCCACGGCUGGCUCUACGUUGCGUAGUUACGGAAGGCUGGAUACGGCGUUCACAUACCCUCUCUUCCCUCGCCAAGGUGUCUGAUGAAGACGGUGGUGGACUGAAGCUGUUUCUGUGGCCGUUAGUCAGGGGUCAGUCUGAUGGCUGCACAAGCACUCCCCAAACGCAGAGAACUGUGUUCAGUGCAGUCGCUCAGUCGUGUCCGACUCUCUGCGACCCCAUGAAGCGCAGCACGCCAGGCCUCCCUGUCGGUGUGGGGUCACCAAAGCUCACAGCUCCAUCAGUUCUGCCUGGACACAAGCAACGCAGAGUGGGCUUCCGUCAGAAUGCAUGUAGAGUGAGCAGUUGCCGCUGCGGUCGUCCAGUCGCUGAGUCAUUGUCCAGCUGUUUGCGACCCCAUGGGCUGCAGCGAGCCAGGCUUCCCCAUCCUUCACUACCUCCUGGAGUAGUAGUAUAUAAUAAAAGUAACUUCUGUUUCUUCAGUUAAUUUUUAUUUAACUAGCUUGUCUGAGUCCAUAGUGGAUUGGACAAAAAACAUCAUUGUCCAAUUACAAUGCUUCAUUUGACAUAGAAAUUCGAAAAAGAGAUGAAUUCUUUUAAUAAAAACAUAACCUCUACGUGACAAGUGGUUUUUGAAAAGGGCAGGAAGAAUGAGGGACGUUUCUGCCCUGUCCUUGCUGGGGCCAACGCUGACAUGUGAUGGUGCCGCCGUGACAGUGACGGUGGGCUACGUGCUGUAGGUGCCGUGACAGGCCAAUAAUUACAUUUCAUGUCUUAGGGAAGGAAACUAUGGGCAGCUUUUGGGUGUGAAGUCAGGUAGCAGUGAAACUUUGUCCCAAAGAUCUGAGCACAGAGAGGAAGUAUUUGAUAUUGAGUGUUGGAAAGAUUUUUUUAAUUCUCACUUAUACCAAGAGUAUGGCUGAGGGGAAAACGCUGAGCGAGAUGGGAAAGAAGAAGGCACUUGUCCCUAGUGGAUUCUGUCAUUAAAUUUGUUCACGUCAUCAGAGAGACCAACUGCCUGUUUGCCUGUCACGUGCCAUAUCUUUGCUUCGCUCAUUUGGUUAGCUGUGGCAAGAUGUCUGUUUCCAAGGCAAGCCCAGGAUUCUCUGGGCUCAAAGGAACAGGGGCUGGAGUAACAAACCCAGCGGAUGGAGAGAGAAGAUGAGGGCAGCGUGAGGGCCCCUCAGGGACGCUGAGGAUAAAUCUCUCGCCACCGAAACGGGCCUCGUCCACCCUGCUUUCUGGCUUCUGUGGCGUUUCUGAGUCGAGAAGGUCGGAACCCAACCCGCGGGCUAUCCUAUCCCCUGGUGGUUAGCUAGUGACCCUGUCGCUCAACCUACAUUUACCCGAUAGACACUGUCUAUAGAAGGGUUAAUUUGACUGUUACUUCUUGAUGCAAACAUUAAAACGAAACAACAGCAAAGACACCGUGCCUGAGUGGCACCCGAUUCUCUUGCAGGGAUCUCUGUGUUUCAAAGUGAUCAACAUUUGAUUCCUGCAGCCUAGAGUUGGACAUAUAAAAAAGAAGAGAAAAACAUAGACUUCGUUCUUCAGAACGAAUCAUAAUCACUACCGUCACAUUUAGAAUGCCAGGCACAGCACCUGCAAAAUCUUCCUGAUUUUUACAAUUCUUAUGAGACAGGCAUUGUCAGGUAAUGUCAGCUGGUGGUUAAGCACAAGAUUUGGAGUCCACCAUGCAGUGUCCAUUGACAAGUGGAAACUUUUCUAAACCUCAGUUUCCUCAUCUAUAAAAAGGGGGUAAACAGUAGCUGCCUUGUAAACACUGAAAACGGUUUAGUGCUAGUUAUUAUUACAAGUUCAGAAUGGUUAAGCAAGUGAUUCAAGGUCACCAAGUUAGUGUGUGGCAGAGGAGAGAUUCACAUACAAUUUUGGUUGGCCCCAAAACUCUCUCUUUUUUUUUUCCCUAGGUGUAUCACAAAUUGUAUGUUUUUUUCCCUUUGUCUUUGAAAAUAAGACUGUUUCUUCAGAAAACCAACCC